UACGAAGGGGGCUAGCGUUGUUCGGAAUUACUGGGCGUAAAGGGCGCGUAGGCGGCCUGUUUAGUCAGAAGUGAAAGCCCCGGGCUCAACCUGGGAAUAGCUUUUGAUACUGACAGGCUUGAGUUCCGGAGAGGAUGGUGGAAUUCCCAGUGUAGAGGUGAAAUUCGUAGAUAUUGGGAAGAACACCGGUGGCGAAGGCGGCCAUCUGGACGGACACUGACGCUGAGGCGCGAAAGCGUGGGGAGCAAACAGG
rnacentral:rRNA from 1 species